UCUGCCAGCGAUGAACCUUCAGGACACACAGCCACGGAGCUGCUUUCACACAUUGUCCCUCGGACGGCUGAAAAGCUCAGGGCCCUGUGCACAGGGGAGAAAGGCUCGUGGAUUCAGGAGUACCACGUUUCACAGGAUAGUUAGUGACUUCCUAUGUCAGGUAAGCUUAACGUGAAGGCUUUUCACGGAGAGAAAAAGCCCACCUGGGCUGCAGCACCGCAUGGAUCCUGCCUGAAAGUGGGCUUUUCCAGUUUUUGACUGUAGUGAGAGUAGCCAAAAUCAGCAGGGCUGCUGUCAGCAGCGACGCCUCAAGCUUUCCCGACACUUCUAGAGAGGAUCACGUUUGAUUCUUGGGGAGCUGUGACUUCAUGGGAACGCCACAGCCUGCGUAACCAGCAGUGGCAGCAACGAUGUCGAGACAACGACUUUCACAGGCAUGAGAAGUAAUGGAGAUGUGCACAGUUCUUCCAGCCGCUGUGCAAAGAGCGAAUCCAAACCAGCGCUCUUCUUUACAAGUCCCUUCAUGCUGUGAGGUUUCUGCCAACGGUGGGUGUGCUUACAACAGAGACAUGAGUUUUCUUUCAUUGUUAUUUUGUUCCAGGCGUGUACCUGGACAGAGCCCAGCAGUUCCAUGAUACCAUUGUGUCCGUGAUGCUUUCCUAGUGAAGGGAGUUUCACCUGGGUGAUACCUCCUUGUACAGCCAAAUGCACUGAA